GAUCGGGUAGGCUAACUGGCAAAGCUGACAGACUUAAAAUCUGUUGUUUGUGGGUUCGACUCCCACCCCGAUUA
rnacentral:tRNA from 1 species